rnacentral:rRNA from 1 species
AUUGAACGCUGGCGGCAUGCCUUACACAUGCAAGUCGAACGGCAGCACGGGGGCAACCCUGGUGGCGAGUGGCGGACGGGUGAGUAAUGCAUCGGAACGUGCCCUGAAGUGGGGGAUAACGCAGCGAAAGCUACGCUAAUACCGCAUAUUCUGUGAGCAGGAAAGCAGGGGAUCGCAAGACCUUGCGCUUUGGGAGCGGCCGAUGUCGGAUUAGCUAGUUGGUGGGGUAAAGGCCUACCAAGGCGACGAUCCGUAGCGGGUCUGAGAGGAUGAUCCGCCACACUGGGACUGAGACACGGCCCAGACUCCUACGGGAGGCAGCAGUGGGGAAUUUUGGACAAUGGGCGAAAGCCUGAUCCAGCCAUGCCGCGUGAGUGAAGAAGGCCUCGGUUGUAAAGC